rnacentral:rRNA from 1 species
AGGAAUAUUGGUCAAUGGGCGGGAGCCUGAACCAGCCAAGUCGCGUGAGGGAAGACGGUCCUAUGGAUUGUAAACCUCUUUAGGCGGGGAGCAAUGCCGGGCACGCGUGCCCGGAGGGAGAGUACCCGCAGAAUAAGCAUCGGCUAACUCCGUGCCAGCAGCCGCGGUAAUACGGAGGAUGCGAGCGUUAUCCGGAUUUAUUGGGUUUAAAGGGUGCGUAGGCGGGAUGCCAAGUCAGCGGUCAAAUACGGGGGCUCAACCUGCGUCCGCCGUUGAAACUGGCGUUCUUGAGUGGGCGAGAAGUACGCGGAAUGCGUGGUGUAGCGGUGAAAUGCAUAGAUAUCACGCAGAACCCCGAUUGCGAAGGCAGCGUACCGGCGCCCUACUGACGCUGAAGCACGAAAGCGUGGGUAUCGAACAGG